UGCGAAUGGCUCAUUAAAUCAGUUAUCGUUUAUUUGAUAGUACCUUACUACAUGGAUACCUGUGGUAAUUCUAGAGCUAAUACAUGCUAAAAACCCCGACUUCGGGAGGGGUGUAUUUAUUAGAUAAAAAACCAAUGCCCCUCGGGGCUCCUUGGUGAAUCAUAAUAACUUAACGAAUCGCAUGGCCUUGCGCCGGCGAUGGUUCAUUCAAAUUUCUGCCCUAUCAACUUUCGAUGGUAGGAUAGUGGCCUACCAUGGUGGCAACGGGUAACGGGGAAUUAGGGUUCGAUUCCGGAGAGGGAGCCUGAGAAACGGCUACCACAUCCAAGGAAGGCAGCAGGCGCGCAAAUUACCCAAUCCCGACACGGGGAGGUAGUGACAAUAAAUACUGAUACGGGGCUCUUUUGGGUCUCGUAAUUGGAAUGAGUACAAUCUAAAUCCCUUAACGAGGAACAAUUGGAGGGCAAGUCUGGUGCCAGCAGCCGCGGUAAUUCCAGCUCCAAUAGCGUAUAUUAAAGUUGUUGCAGUUAAAAAGCUCGUAGUUGAACCUUGGGUCUGGCUGGCCGGUCCGCCUCACCGCGAGUACUGGUCCGGCUGGACCUUUCCUUCUGGGGAAUCCCAUGGCCUUCACUGGCUGUGGGUGGAACCAGGACUUUUACUGUGAAAAAAUUAGAGUGUUCAAAGCAGGCCUUUGCUCGGAUACAUUAGCAUGAAAUAAUAGAAUAGGACGUGCGGUUCUAUUUUUGUUGGUUUCUAGGACCGCCGUAAUGAUUAAUAGGGAUAGUCGGGGCCGUCAGUAUUCCAGCUGUCAGAGGUGAAAUU
rnacentral:rRNA from 1 species